AGGAGGGAUGUGAUUGGCCGAAGCAGAGAGGAGAGGUUCUCGGCUGUCGCGAGGCGAGUUGAUUCCGCGCCACUUCGUUUCCGACUCGUGUACGCGUACGACGUGCUCAGAGGACUAUCUCUCAGAACAAAUCCUUCGAUUUUCUUUUGUCUGCUAAAGGGAUACUGUCAAAAGUAAAUUGACAGAUUACGGUCAGACCACUAUACAGUAAAACGAGUGGGUGCAGCAUGAUUACGUAAG